CAUCGCCCGCGACGACGAUCAUCGUGUCAGGACCGCUUCCCACGUAUCGACGAGGACAUGAAAGGUUCAGUGGACUUUUUGCUUUAAACGAAUGGUUAUUGUCAUGGUGUAAACAACAGAAACUGCUCUUUGUUAAUAAUCGGAAUCUUUUCUGGGAGCGACCUAGGCUUUUUCGCACUGAUGGCCUGCACCCCAGCAGAGUUGGAGCGGAACUCCUGUUGGAUAACAUCUCCAGGACGCUACGCUCCAUAUGGCUCCACAUUCUGGCUUUU